GACGAACGCUGGCGGCGUGCUUAACACAUGCAAGUCGAACGGUGACCUCGGAGCUUGCUCCGGGCGAUCAGUGGCGAACGGGUGAGUAACACGUGACCAACCUGCCCCUAGCUCUGGGAUAACCCCGGGAAACCGGAGCUAAUACCGGAUACGAGACCGAGCGGCAUCACACGGUCUGGAAAGUUUUUCGGCUAGGGAGUGGGGUCGCGGCCUAUCAGCUUGUUGGUGGGGUAACGGCCCACCAAGGCGACGACGGGUAGCCGGCCUGAGAGGGCGACCGGCCACACUGGGACUGAGACACGGCCCAGACUCCUACGGGAGGCAGCAGUGGGGAAUAUUGCGCAAUGGGCGAAAGCCUGACGCAGCGACGCCGCGUGAGGGAAUGAAGGCC
rnacentral:rRNA from 1 species